rnacentral:rRNA from 1 species
UACGUAGGGUCCGAGCGUUGUCCGGAAUUAUUGGGCGUAAAGAGCGUGUAGGCGGCCAGAUAAGUCCGCUGUGAAAUCUCGAGGCUCAACUUCGAGCUGUCGGUGGAAACUAUCUGGCUAGAGUCCGGAAGAGGAGAAUGGAAUUCCUAGUGUAGCGGUGAAAUGCGCAGAUAUCAGGAAGAACACCCGUGGCGAAGGCGGUUCUCUGGGACGGUACUGACGCUGAGACGCGAAAGCGUGGGGAGCGAACAGG